rnacentral:rRNA from 1 species
GUUGAACGCUGGCGGCAUGCCUUACACAUGCAAGUCGAACGGUAACGCGGGGCAACCUGGCGACGAGUGGCGAACGGGUGAGUAAUGUAUCGGAACGUGCCCAGUUGUGGGGGAUAACUGCUCGAAAGAGCAGCUAAUACCGCAUACGACCUGAGGGUGAAAGCGGGGGAUCGCAAGACCUCGCGCAAUUGGAGCGGCCGAUAUCAGAUUAGGUAGUUGGUGAGGUAAAGGCUCACCAAGCCAACGAUCUGUAGCUGGUCUGAGAGGACGACCAGCCACACUGGGACUGAGACACGGCCCAGACUCCUACGGGAGGCAGCAGUGGGGAAUUUUGAACAAUGGACGCAAGUCUGAUCCAGCCAUGCCGCGUGCGGGAAGAAGGCCUUCGGGUUGUAAACCGCUUUUGUCAGGGAAGAAACGCUCUGGGUUAAUACCUCGGGGUAAUGACGGUACCUGAAGAAUAAGCACCGGCUAACUACGUGCCAGCAGCCGCCGUAACAC